GAUGAACGCUGGCGGCGUGCCUAAUACAUGCAAGUCGAGCGAACAGAUAAGGAGCUUGCUCCUCUGACGUUAGCGGCGGACGGGUGAGUAACACGUGGGUAACCUACCUAUAAGACUGGAAUAACUUCGGGAAACCGGGGCUAAUACCGGAUAACAUUUAGAACCGCAUGGUUCUAAAGUGAAAGAUGGUUUUGCUAUCACUUAUAGAUGGAUCCGCGCCGUAUUAGCUAGUUGGUAAGGUAACGGCUUACCAAGACAACGAUACGUAGCCGACCUGAGAGGGUGAUCGGCCACACUGGAACUGAGACACGGUCCAGACUCCUACGGGAGGCAGCAGUAGGGAAUCUUCCGCAAUGGGCGAAAGCCUGACGGAGCAACGCCGCGUGAGUGAUGAAGGUCUUCGGAUCGUAAAACUCUGUUAUUAGGGAAGAACAAAUGUGUAAGUAACUAUGCACGUCUUGACGGUACCUAAUCAGAAAGCCACGGCUAACUACGUG
rnacentral:rRNA from 1 species